rnacentral:rRNA from 1 species
CAAGUCGAGCGAGAGGGGGUAGCAAUACCCUAGUAAAGCGGCGCACGGGUGAGUAACACGUGGAUAACCUGCCUCGAAGUGGGGAAUAACCCCGGGAAACCGGAGCUAAUACCGCAUAUUCUGACGAGGUCUGCGGACUUUGUCAGGAAAGGAGCAAUUCGCUUUGAGAGGGGUCCGCGGCUGAUUAGCUAGUUGGUGAGGUAAUGGCUCACCAAGGCCACGAUCAGUAGCCGGUCUGAGAGGACGGUCGGCCACACUGGAACUGAGACACGGUCCAGACUCCUACGGGAGGCAGCAGUGGGGAAUUUUUCGCAAUGGGGGCAACCCUGACGAAGCAACGCCGCGUGGGUGAUGAAGUAUUUCGGUACGUAAAACCCUUUCGACGGGGAAGAAACCGCAAGGUUGACGGUACCCGUAGAAGAAGCCCCGGCUAACUCCGUGCCAGCAGCCGCGGUAAUACGGGGGGGGCAAGCGUUGUUCGGAAUUACUGGGCGUAAAGGGCGCGUAGGCGGUUCGCUAAGUUGAAUGUGAAAACUCUGGGCUUAACCCAGAGCCUGCAUCCAAAACUGGCGAACUGGAGUACUGGAGGGGAAAGCGGAAUUCCUGGUGUAGCGGUGAAAUGCGUAGAUAUCAGGAGGAACACCGGUGGCGAAGGCGGCUUUCUGGACAGUAACUGACGCUGAGGCGCGAAAGCUAGGGGAGCAAACAGGAUUAGAUACCCUGGUAGUCCUAGCCCUAAACUAUGGAUACUUGGUGUGAGGGGGAUUGAAUCCCUUCGUGCCGUAACUAACGCAAUAAUUAUCCC